rnacentral:lncRNA from 1 species
UCUGACAGUCUACAGUGAGUUGACAAUUCCUCAAUUGUCCGCUCCAUUAAUGACGGCGCCAUGCCGCGCCUCACUAUAAAUAUCGGGGAAGGCAACAGUGCAGGGGGACUUCGAAACCACAGGCUUGCUCCCUCUCUCUCCCUCUUUCUCUCUCUCUCGUUUGAGCUCUCUAUCUUCAUUUCACUGUUGCCCAGUCACCUCUCUGACUUGACCGUCGGAGGGUCCCCGCCGGAGCCGCCU